rnacentral:rRNA from 1 species
UACGAAGGGGGCUAGCGUUGUUCGGAAUCACUGGGCGUAAAGCGCACGUAGGCUGAUUGGUCAGUUGGGGGUGAAAUCCCGGGGCUCAACCUCGGAACUGCCUUCAAUACUGCCAGUCUUGAGUCCGAGAGAGGUGAGUGGAAUUCCUAGUGUAGAGGUGAAAUUCGUAGAUAUUAGGAAGAACACCAGUGGCGAAGGCGGCUCACUGGCUCGGUACUGACGCUGAGGUGCGAAAGCGUGGGGAGCAAACAGG